rnacentral:rRNA from 1 species
GACGAACGCUGGCGGCGUGCUUAACACAUGCAAGUCGAACGGAAAGGCCCCUUUGGGGGUCCUCGAGUGGCGAACGGGUGAGUAACACGUGAGUAACCUGCCCUUGACUUCGGGAUAACUUCAGGAAACUGGGGCUAAUACCGGAUAGGAAUCAUUGCUGCAUGGUGGGGGUUGGAAAGCUUCGGCGGUUUUGGAUGGACUCACGGCUUAUCAGCUUGUUGGUGGGGUAGUGGCUUACCAAGGCUUUGACGGGUAGCCGGCCUGAGAGGGCGACCGGCCACAUUGGGACUGAGAUACGGCCCAGACUCCUACGGGAGGCAGCAGUGGGGAAUAUUGCACAAUGGGCGGAAGCCUGAUGCAGCAACGCCGCGUGCGGGAUGACGGCCUUCGGGUUGUAAACCGCUUUCAGCAGGGGCGAAGCUUGUGGUGACGGUACCUGCAGAAGAAGCACCGGCUAACUACGUG